rnacentral:sRNA from 1 species
CAACAGGAACAGGACCCCACAAAUUUAUACAUCUCAAACCUCCCACUCUCAAUGGAUGAGCAGGAACUGGAGGGGAUGCUGAAGCCCUUUGGCCAGGUUAUCUCCACCCGUAUCCUUCGAGAUACCAGUGGGACCAGCAGAGGUGUUGGCUUUGCAAGGAUGGAGUCCACAGAGAAGUGUGAAGCCAUCAUCACCCACUUUAAUGGAAAAUAUAUUAAGACACCCCCUGGAGUACCAGCCCCAUCCGAUCCCUUGCUUUGCAAAUUUGCUGAUGGCGGGCCAAAGAAACGACAGAACCAAGGAAAAUUUGUGCAAAAUGGACGGGCUUGGCCAAGGAAUGGAGACAUGGUAAGAGGACCUCUGAGGAGACAGGAGUACUAACGACAUUAAAGUGGAAUGGAAAUGAUCAUGGCAUGAUUUCUGUGAGCUUAGGUGGAAAGCUUGAGAGCUACAAUACGUAAUUGAGAAAUGCUGGCUGUGAACAUACUGCCAGUU